rnacentral:misc_RNA from 1 species
GUUUCUGAAGCUUAUCUGACCACUGGAGAAAAGGCACGGCACACUAUUAAGUACUUGGUGCAUAAUCUUUCUAUGAGUGCUCAAAUUAAAUCCUCUCUCUAAAACAUAUCAAACAAUAAGUUCAAAAUAGCAACAAGUGGAAGUAUUUUAGAAAUGAAUUUGAUGCUGCUAUUUUUGUUAAGGGAAAUCAGUCACACUGCUAUUAUGCAAUUCACAAAAAU